rnacentral:rRNA from 1 species
UACGUAGGGGGCGAGCGUUGUCCGGAUUUAUUGGGCGUAAAGAGCUCGUAGGCGGUUUGGUAAGUCGGGUGUGAAAUCUCCACGCUCAACGUGGAGGGGCCACUCGAUACUGCCAUGACUCGAGUCCGGUAGAGGAGUGUGGAAUUCCCGGUGUAGCGGUGAAAUGCGCAGAUAUCGGGAGGAACACCCGUAGCGAAGGCGGCACUCUGGGCCGGAAUUGACGCUGAGGAGCGAAAGUGUGGGUAGCAAACAGG